rnacentral:pre_miRNA from 1 species
UGUAUUGUCAACGACUCCUUCAUAUUACCAUGAUAUAUGAAUAUGAUAUGUAAUAUGAAGGAGUCGUUGGUAUUGUG